GCCGGGCACGGUGGCUCAUGCCUGUAAUCCCAGCACUUUGGGAGGCCGAGGUGGGCGGAUCACCUGAGGUCAGGAGUUCAAGACCAGCCUGGCCAACACGGUGAAACCCCAUCUCUA
rnacentral:SRP_RNA from 2 species